AGAAUUUCCGCUUACUUGCCUUUUUUCAUCCAAACAAGUCAUUAUCACGGCAACAGAAAAGGAGGAAUGCACACCUUGAAGCUACGUCGUUUCCGAUCCAAGAAAAGCCGAAACCGCUGAUAAUCACCAAUAAAGAGUAGUAAUGCUCAAUUAAAUUCCAUUAUUUCUUAAAUUAUGCAAUAAAAUUCAAUUACGCUGGAUCUUUGGUUAAAAUCUUCAUUUUCUUAUUCAAUUAUAGUUUCCGUUUGGUCGCCGAGAAAUUGCAGGAAAGAAAAUUAUGUAACAGUGUGGAUUUUGUUAUUUAGUAAGGCAAUCUGGAUUUGGUCUAUUUUCCUUAAGUUUCAGUUCUGCUGAAGGUGUUUCUGAUGAGAGUGAGCUGGAUGGUGAUCUGGAGGAUCAGCGUAACAAGUUCGAUCUGACAUGAUUAUCAAUUGAAUAAGAUAUAAAAUUGAAGAAACAAUAAAGUCAAGCAGGUGAUGUACUUAGCAUGUUGGUAAGGAAACUAGCAUGGAUGAAAAGGAUCACAAGAGCCAAGAUUUUGCUUCACCUCUUGUUGCUGUGUUCGAAAAUUAUAAUGUUCUUUUGGUCAAGGGAGAAUCAACGUGCAGUUUCCUUUCUUUUGACCAAACGCGGGUGAUAAAAGUUCUCGUGACAAGACCGGUACUUUUAUCAUUGCUGCGAUGGAAUCUUCUCUCCCUCGACGUGUUCACACUGUGAAUACAGAUAUAUAAUAUAUUCCGGGAUAUUAAAAUUGCCAUAAUUUUACUAGGUAGUUGAAAUGACAAUAACACCCUCUCUACUGUUUCUAUUCCAUGCGGUUGUUGCAGUGUAAUUGUCAUUCACUUUUAAUCAUUUUCAUUUUGAGAAAUAAAAAUAAAAACUGUAUUAGUAAAUAAUUUUGUUUGCAGAAAGUUGUUAAAAUCUUGUGCUCAAAAUUUGUGGAUCAGUUUGUUCAA